rnacentral:misc_RNA from 1 species
GGGAGUCUAUGCAGCCAAUUCAUUUAUAAAAACUUUCCUGUUACAGUACUCUCAGAAAUCAAUGAUUUUGAAAUUUACCCCGGUUAUUCACAAGCUCUCCCCAUAUCCCACCAGCUCCAGCAUGGUUUAUCUCCUCGAAGAAUAUUCCAAACAGCGUUUCUGGUAUCACCCGACCCGCAGAAGCAUUAACGAACAAUCGUGCAGUCAGGUUCGCAUCAAGUUCAACAGCAGAGCAUCGAUAUGUAAAACAAAGGCCGACGAAGAAAAAGCUCAGAAGAAGAGUGCAAGAAAGCUUCCACGAACCCAUAUGUUCACUCACCGCUUACAACACCACCACAAUCUAACGUUAAACAAUUCAGUUAGACCAAUUUGGACCCACUAAACCCGGGGAAAAAAAAAACUAAAAAUAGCUAUGAUCUUCUGCACAUUGACUCAUCAAUCAAAUAAGCAGAAAUAACAGAAAUAUGAAAACUACCAUUUAAACCCAGAAAGCAAAAAAAUAAUCAAAUAAGCAAAUAUAACAGAAAUACGCAAACCACAAAUUGAACCCAGAAAGCAAAAAACGCUAAAAUAGCUCAUUGGACCGUUAUGAUUAAAAGAUAAUAUCGUGUCCACUGAUCCAUUGAAAUGAGAAGAAAUAACAGAAAUAUGAAGUAUGCCCAGAAAAAAUAAUAAUAAUAAUAUUGUCAUAAUUAACAGAUAAGAUUGAGUCCAUUGACCCAGAUGAGCAGAAACAACAGAAAUUUGCAGUCUGCCAAUAAAAAAUAACAAUAAUAAUGAUAAAGAAAGCUAAAUUAGGUUGGUUAGCUGUUAUGGUUAACAGACUAACUUGUGCACAUUCAUCCAACCAUCAAAUGAGCAUAAACAAAACAAAUAUACAGUGAAAUAAAAUAAUCAAGAAAGAAG